rnacentral:snRNA from 1 species
ACAUCUGUGCUUUUUAUAUUCAGGUGGUUUUCCCAGGGCAGGUGAUUGUCUCUGAUAUGUCCUCCAUUGGAGGUCUAUAUUGAGCAGAUUCUUUUUGGUGUUGGGUGGUGGAACUGGAGCUUGCUCCAUCCACUCCAUGCAUUGACCUGGUAUUCCAGUGCUUCCAGGACUGGUGCAAAAAAA